CGAAUAAUAAGUGUAGAGUACACGAGCGGCGGACGGCUGAGUAACGCGUAGGAACGUACCCCAAAGUGAGGGAUAAGCACCAGAAAUGGUGUCUAAUACCGCAUAUGAUCUAAGGAUUAAAGCUUCGGCGCUUUGGGAACGGCCUGCGUAUGAUUAGCUUGUUGGUAGGGUAAUGGCCUACCAAGGCGACGAUCAUUAGCUGGUCUGAGAGGAUGAUCAGCCAGACUGGGACUGAGACACGGCCCAGACUCCUACGGGAGGCAGCAGUAGGGAAUUUUCCACAAUGGGCGAAAGCCUGAUGGAGCAACGCCGCGUGCAGGAUGAAGGCUUUCGGG
rnacentral:rRNA from 1 species